GACGAACGCUGGCGGCGUGCCUAAUACAUGCAAGUAGAACGCUGAAGGAGGAGCUUGCUUCUCUGGAUGAGUUGCGAACGGGUGAGUAACGCGUAGGUAACCUGCCUGGUAGCGGGGGAUAACUAUUGGAAACGAUAGCUAAUACCGCAUAAGAGUAGAUGUUGCAUGACAUUUGCUUAAAAGGUGCAAUUGCAUCACUACCAGAUGGACCUGCGUUGUAUUAGCUAGUUGGUGGGGUAACGGCUCACCAAGGCGACGAUACAUAGCCGACCUGAGAGGGUGAUCGGCCACACUGGGACUGAGACACGGCCCAGACUCCUACGGGAGGCAGCAGUAGGGAAUCUUCGGCAAUGGACGGAAGUCUGACCGAGCAACGCCGCGUGAGUGAAGAAGGUUUUCGGAUCGUAAAGCUCUGUUGUAAGAGAAGAACGAGUGUGAGAGUGGAAAGUUCACACUGUGACGGUAUCUUACCAGAAAGGGACGGCUAACUACGUGCCAGCCGCCGCCGUAACAC
rnacentral:rRNA from 1 species